rnacentral:rRNA from 1 species
CAGUAGCCACGGUAAUACGAAGGGGGCUAGCGUUGUUCGGAAUUACUGGGCGUAAAGCGCACGUAGGCGGACUUUUAAGUCAGGGGUGAAAUCCCGGGGCUCAACCUCGGAACUGCCUUUGAUACUGGAAGUCUUGAGUGUGGAAGAGGUAAGUGGAAUUGCGAGUGUAGAGGUGAAAUUCGUAGAUAUUAGGAAGAACUCCAGUGGCGAAGGCGGCUCACUGGUCCGGUACUGACGCUGAGGUGCGAAAGCGUGGGGAGCAAACAGGAUUAGAUACCCGAGUAGUCCCUGUCUCUUAUAC